CAGCUAGUUGGUGAGGUAAUGGCUCACCAAGGCGACGAUCGUUAGCUGGUCUGAGAGGACGAUCAGCCACACUGGGACUGAGACACGGCCCAGACUCCUACGGGAGGCAGCAGUGGGGAAUAUUGGACAAUGGGGGCAACCCUGAUCCAGCCAUGCCGCGUGAGUGAUGAAGGCCUUCGGGUUGUAAAGCUCUUUUGGCGGGGACGAUGAUGACGGUACCCGCAGAAUAAGCCCCGGCUAACUUCGUGCCAGCAGCCGCGGUAAGACGAAGGGGGCUAGCGUUGUUCGGAAUUACUGGGCGUAAAGCGAGUGUAGGUGGUUGUCCAAGUUGGAUGUGAAAGCCUUGAGCUCAACUCAAGAAAUGCAUUCAGGACUGGGCGGCUAGAGGACCGGAGAGGAUAGUGGAAUUCCCAGUGUAGUGGUGAAAUACGUAGAGAAUGGGAAGAACACCAGUGGCGAAGGC
rnacentral:rRNA from 1 species